rnacentral:lncRNA from 1 species
UUUUUUUUUUUUUUUCCUUCUUUCUCAGAGAUUGGGGGUAGACGGGGAAAUCACCACAGGGAGUAGAAAAGGAGAAAACUCAGAGACUGCACUCACUAUAUUUCCUUUCCACUCAUCAACCCCUCACUCCUCAACCCCAACAGCUUUGAGACUGCUCUAGUAAGAGUCACCAGGGACCUUCUUGGAACCCAACAAACAUUUUUCUCAACAUCAGGACACUGUUCCUGAGCUGUCCUCUUCUCAUCAAAUCUCUACCACUUGUCAGGCCCUUGUCUUCCAGCAGCCUCCUACCUGGUCUUCUCCAUUGUGACCCCUCCCCAAUCCUUUCCCUGCACUUUAGCCAGAGUGUUUAUCCUAACGAGUAAAUCUAUCCACCUCUUCCCUAGAGCCUUUACAUGAACUUCUAUGAACCUUAGCUCUGGAGAAUCUGGUCUGUCUGUCCAUCUUCAGGAUCAUCUAUUGCUAUGCUAACCCACCCAAACUCCCUUGCACUUUCUUGCCUUUACUCCCCCUGUUCUCUCCACCUGGAAGACCUCACCCUCCCUCCUCACCCUUCACCAUAUCAUCUGCCUCACUUAUAAAUCUUUGAAACUCAAGACAAGUCUCCUUUCCACCCAUCACAUACCUUCUUUUGUCAUCAGCACAACUCCUGAUCAUUCUUAAGGACUGCACUAUUUGUGUGAUGGUCUAUAUCCUCUUUAGGCUGUACACUCCUCAAAGGUGGACAUUGUUCUUACCUUUGUACCACCACGCAUCACAGUGACCAACAAAAUCCUGCUUAAGUGAAUUAAUGAAUUGUGCAAAUAAUCAUUGCUCACUUCAUAGUGUGACAGGACUGCAUUGUCAUCUUUUCUACUGUAAUCUCUUACUCUUUCUACAAGGGAAGAAAGUAAAUGUGUCAUAUCCUUGUUCCUUAGACUCUGUCUUUUAAUAUUUCUUGGUCUUGUCAUAAUUACUAUAUUUUCCACCUGAUAUUUAACUAAUCAAAAACUUUACGAGUAAACUUACAAGUAAAUUAAAGCUAUUUGAUCUUGUUCCACGUACUGUGGGUGUAAACGGAUAGCCAUAGGUUAAAAUCCUGGCUCGACCAGUAACUAGCUGUAGACUUUAAAUAAGUCAUUCAAUCCCAAGUUUGGUUUUCACUCUAAAAUAAGGGUAAAAAAAUCUACCCCCCUGGCUUUCUUGUGAGGCUAAAGGAACAAAUGUACACAAAGCACUUAUGCACAUUGCCUAAUACAAAUAAGUAUGCAGUAAGUAUUAUCUAUUAUUAUUAAUGCACAAUUAAGACACUUGUGCACUUUGCAGACUUCAUCAUUCAUUGAAGUGCUCCCUGUACUUUUCAAAACUGAGGGUCACAUUGGUCUUAAGAUAAAAGCCUUAAUAACAAGAAAGAUAUUAUAUACAUAUAUGUAUAUCAAAUGAAAAACCCUAAAACGUGUGCUUGUAUUAUACAUAUAUAAUAAAACCUUAUAUAUAAAAUAAAAUGUAUGCUUAUUUAUAUAUAUAUGUACAUAUAUAUAAACAAACAGUAUUAAUACCUUGCUUAUUUUAUAACUGAAAAAAAAUGUGAACUCUGGUAGUUAAAUGAAAAAUAAACAGAUUCCACUCAGUAAAUGCUAGAAUUUUCACAAUGGAAUCUACAUCAUUUAUUAAAUACACAUUAAUCAUAUAUGUUAUUCUGGUGAAAUAUGCUUUAAGUACAUAACAUGAAAAAUCCAAUACCACAAACUUAACCUUUGCAAUUGCUAUUUUCUGUGCUUAAUAUUGCAAUUCAAAUCUGGUUAAGUUUUAAGUGAUGGUUUUGAAGAAUGCAAUUAAGAACGAAAAAAUUAAAAUGAAGGGAAACAAAAAUUCAUUAGCUACAACUGUAUGAGGAGACUAGCACGGCUUUUGGAAAUAUGAAGACAAGACCUCUGGAAUUUAUUCCCGAUCUUUAUUUAUAUUACAGGGAUAUUAUAUACUUGUAUUUAAAAAUCAUUACUCUAAAAGGGAAGAGUCUGUUUGCUUUAUCUCUGAAACUUACUUUCUCUCUCCCAAUUGCCCCCCAAAAAGGAAAACCAAUUGUGAGCCACUUUAUUCAAAAAGAAGAAUCUCAUGACAAUAGGAUUAUUAUGACAAGCAUUUCCCAUACUUUAUUCUUCAUGCCCAGAAUGACAUUGGUAAGAUAAGACAUUUUAAAAGUCAAUAGCACUUAUUUUGAAGUUUAAAUAUCAUGUUAAAAAAAAGUCAUUUCCUUAAACAGGAAAUGUAUUAAUAAUGGCACAAAAGACAGUACCAGUCAUACUAUAGAGUACAAUGUUUCCCUUCAAAAAAGAAAAUAAUACCCUUAUCCUCAAAGGGUACUAAUUCUUGAACAGUCAUUUAAAAAAUAAAUACAGAGGGGGAAAUCUUGACACCCUUUGCUUCACAUUCGCAUAUAUUUUGUUGCGUUCUGAUCACGUGAUUAACUAAAGAUUUAAGUUGAGGCCAUAAAAAAUUUAAAGUUGCAACAAUAUUGUCUAGUUCUCACCAAUCAAAUAAGUUCUCUUUGCUUUAUACAUAUAUUUUUACACCAAUAUUUGCAAAACUAUCGUAUUUUUGCAGUUGGUUCAUUCUGUUCAGCAUUAUUCCCCCAGAAAGCUUGGCAAAGAAUGACUUAUUAAAAUACAUUUUUAGAGACUCCUAAGGUUUUUAGCUUUACUUAUAGGAUAGGAAUUUAAGAUGAAAGCAUUUGGUGCAUU